rnacentral:rRNA from 1 species
CAGCCGCCACGGGAAUACGUAGGUGGCAAGCGUUAUCCGGAAUUAUUGGGCGUAAAGCGCGCGCAGGCGGUUUCUUAAGUCUGAUGUGAAAGCCCACGGCUCAACCGUGGAGGGUCAUUGGAAACUGGGGAACUUGAGUGCAGAAGAGAAAAGCGGAAUUCCACGUGUAGCGGUGAAAUGCGUAGAGAUGUGGAGGAACACCAGUGGCGAAGGCGGCUUUUUGGUCUGUAACUGACGCUGAGGCGCGAAAGCGUGGGGAGCAAACAGGAUUAGAUACCCCCGUAGUCCCUGUCUCUUAUAC